rnacentral:rRNA from 7 species
AAAUUGAAGAGUUUGAUCAUGGCUCAGAUUGAACGCUGGCGGCAGGCCUAACACAUGCAAGUCGAGCGGUAGCACAGAGAGCUUGCUCUCGGGUGACGAGCGGCGGACGGGUGAGUAAUGUCUGGGAAACUGCCUGAUGGAGGGGGAUAACUACUGGAAACGGUAGCUAAUACCGCAUAACGUCGCAAGACCAAAGUGGGGGACCUUCGGGCCUCAUGCCAUCAGAUGUGCCCAGAUGGGAUUAGCUAGUAGGUGGGGUAACGGCUCACCUAGGCGACGAUCCCUAGCUGGUCUGAGAGGAUGACCAG